AACGAACGCUGGCGGCAUGCCUAACACAUGCAAGUCGAACGAGACCUUCGGGUCUAGUGGCGCACGGGUGCGUAACGCGUGGGAAUCUGCCCUUCGGUUGGGAAUAACUGAGAGAAAUUUCAGCUAAUACCUUAUAAUGUCUUCGGACCAAAGAUUUAUCGCCGAGGGAUGAGCCCGCGUAGGAUUAGGUAGUUGGUGGGGUAAUGGCCUACCAAGCCGACGAUCCUUAGCUGGUCUGAGAGGAUGAUCAGCCACACUGGGACUGAGACACGGCCCAGACUCCUACGGGAGGCAGCAGUGGGGAAUAUUGGAUAAUGGGCGAAAGCCUGAUCCAGCAAUGCCGCGUGAGUGAUGAAGGCCUUAGGGUUGUAAAGCUCUUUUACCCGGGAUGAUAAUGACAGUACCGGGAGAAUAAGCUCCGGCUAACUCCGUG
rnacentral:rRNA from 1 species